GCCCACAUAGAUCAGUUGGUAGAUCACCUUCUACAAUUACUUUGGAUAUAUAUUGAGUUUUGAAGGAGACAGAGGUUCGAGCCCUCCUGUGGGCA